rnacentral:rRNA from 1 species
CUCCACUGAAUCGAGUGGCUGCUCCUCCCCCACUCCCCACUCUGUCGACUUAUCUCCGGCCCACGCCGCCUGGACCGCAGGAUACAUUGGCGAGCGAGCAGGGGAGCGGAGCGAGCGCCGGCGCCCGGCGGCGACGUGCCGGAGAGGAGCAUGUAGGCCGCGCGCCGGCGACGCCAUCCUACAGUGAACAGGAUAAACAGAGCUGCUCAAAUGGAUGGUGGUGCUCCCUUCCGAGUGUAUCAGCUCCUGAUGGCCCGAUGCCACAAACAGAGGAGCAUAUUCUUCUAGCUCCACUGGUUUCGAACUCUGAGAAUUCUUGCCAACAAUAGCAUCUAGUUUGUUGCAUUUCUGAGCGGACGGACACUUCUCCUCUGUGUUCUUUAGCUUGGUGUGCUAUCGCUUGUAGAUGAUCCAGAGUUACUACAGCUUGUGGAGGUUGAGCUUCGAGCAGAGCUUCUCAAUUUCUACAAGUACCCUGGUGAUGAGGUUCAUAUCAUCCAUAGAUCUGCCCUGUCAUCCUUGGAUGGCCAUGGUUAUCCUCCCCCUCCUCCUGCUCCGCGUGCCUCUCACCGCUGCCCAAACGUGGCCAUCCUGUGGUGAGAGCGGCGACUACAAAUCAAAUAGCACAUACGAAGCCAACCUUAGGCUCCUCUCAUCCACCCUCCCGAAGAAAGCAGCGUCCAACACGACCCUCUUCGCCACCGACACUGUUGGCAAUGUUCCGAAUGUCAUCUUUGCCCUCGCACUCUGCCGUGGAGACUCCAACUCCUCUGCCUGCGAGGGCUGUUUGGUUAACGCCUUCCAGGACGGGCAGGAGCACUGCGCGAACAAUAUGGACGCCACCGUGUACUACGAUAACAAUCCCUGCAUGCUCAGGUUCUCCAACCAGAAUUUUCUCGCCACCACCGCCAAUGACCAUAUGCUCGUCAUUGUGAGCAUCGAGAGCUUGAUGAUGAACAUCCCGACAAGAGCCGACUCCUUCAAGCUCUUGUUGUUCACGCUUCUGAACAGCACGGCUCAAUCCGCCGCGAACAGCUCGAGGAGGUUCACCACCUCGCGCUUAGACGUCAACUCCUUCCCUACGCUCUACUGCCUUAUGCAGUGCACGCCAGACCUGACCGCCGACGACUGCACCGCAUGUUUGCAGCCUUACUUCCAGUAUACAGUCAAAUACAUGGAUGGUAAGAAAGGUGGUCGAGUACUGGGGACACGGUGUAGCAUGAGGUACGAGAUAUUCCCAUUCUUCCAAGGGGACCCCAUGCUGCGUAUUAUCAACUUGGUAUCUGAAGUUCCGGCGAUCAACAACACCGUGCCACUGAUUACCGUGAACCCACCUCCGCAGUCGCAGUCGCCGGUUGCGGCAGCACCACCUCCGGAGGCGCAAGCGACCACCCAAGAAAUUCAUGGACGCAACUCACGCCAGAGGCCGCUCUGGAUUAUCGCUGUGGCAGCUCCAUUACUGUCAAUAUUUCUGUGCGUUAUCUGUUUUGUUGUAUGGAUGAGAAGGCGAAGAAAAGGAACGGAAAUCUUACAUGAUCAAGCUGCCAUGAAUAGGCCGGACGAAGACGCAUUGGUUUGGAGAUUGGAAGAGAAGAGUUCAGAGUUCACUCUGUUUGACUUAUCAGAGGUAUUGCGUGCUACACACAACUUCUCCAAAGAAAACCUACUUGGGCAAGGUGGUUUUGGCCCUGUCUACAAGGGCCGGUUACCAGAUGGAACAGAAAUUGCAGUUAAAAGGCUUGCCUCACAUUCAGGACAGGGUUUCACAGAAUUCAAAAAUGAAGUUGAACUUAUUGCGAAAUUACAGCACAAUAAUCUGGUCAAGCUCAUAGGAUGCUGCAUUGAGGGAGAGGAAAAACUUUUGGUGUACGAAUAUUUGCCAAAUAAGAGCUUGGACUUCUUCAUCUUUGAUGUUAACCGAACAACUUUGGUUGGUUGGAAUAAAAGAUGUGUGAUAAUCGAAGGGAUAGCCCAAGGUCUACUGUAUCUCCACAAGCACUCUCGGUUGCGCAUCAUACACAGAGACCUUAAGGCCAGCAACAUUCUCUUGGACCAGGACAUGAAUCCUAAAAUUUCUGAUUUUGGGCUAGCAAAAAUUUUCAGCUCCAAUGAUACUCAAGGAAGCACAAAGAAGGUGGUGGGAACAUAUGGUUAUAUGGCUCCGGAGUAUGCAUCUGAAGGAAUUUACUCGAUCAAAUCUGACGUGUUCAGUUUUGGUGUGUUGCUUCUCGAGAUCCUUAGUGGAAAAAGGAAUUCUGGUUUCCAUCAGCAUGACGACUUUCUUAACCUCCUUGGAUAUUCAUGGCAUCUCUGGGAAGGAGGGAGAUGUCUUGAGCUUCUAGAAACAUCGAUUGUUGAGGAGAUCCAUGCAGCAGAGGCUAGUAGGUACAUUAACAUUGCGCUAAUGUGCGUACAAGAGCGCGCAGACAAUCGACCAACCAUGUCGACUGUCGUUGCAAUGUUAAACAACGAGAAUUUUAUUCUUCCAGAGCCUAAACAUCCAGCAUACUUCAACCUAAGGGUAUCUAAGGAAGAUGAAUCGGGUAGUGUUCCAUACAGUAAUAAUGCCGACACCAUCUGCAGUAAUAAUGACUUGACCAUCACUGAGGAGCCAGAUGGCAGAUAGUUGAUCACUUUGCUUCAGUUGUUGAUUGAAGUGCUAGUAAUCAGACAGCAGGCAGGCAGACCAGGUCAAGUGAACUAGGGCUGACCAAGUAAGCCUAUCAUAUUUUGGUUGUUCGGUCCUCAGUUAAUAUUGUAUUUAGCUUUUGUGCACCGCACCAUCAUUUUACACUGGUGGCUGCUGUCGUAGAAGACUUGAAAUCCAAAGGAUUUCAAUCUGACAACAGAUGCAUUAACUGAAUCCUGCUGGGUAAAAUAUGUGUUGCAUCUAUAUGCGCCUUCCAUGUUUUCUUCCAAGUUAAUUCCGUUGGCGUGCAAGGUUAGCUAGAGUCAUGGAAACCUUGAGGCCAUAACUGAUAAGGUUCCGGUACUGCAGUUAAUCUGUUCGAGCUCGUAGCAGUUCCACACUGUUACGAAAAGAUGCAUUUCCAUAGCGAUCAUUUUGGUAUUUAUCCUGCUAACGGUCCAUAAGUUGAUCAACCAUACUACUCAUUGGUACUAAGAAUAGGAGUUCUUGAUUUAAACUUUGAGGCAAAAUUUACGUGGCAAGUUUGUACCUUCCAUGAGUUAAGUAGUUAUGUUUGUAUUUUGUACUAUUUUAAUCAUAUAAUAUGGAGUGUAUAAAUAUAUAUUUUAGAUACUUUCAAUAGACCAAAUAUGAUGACCUCGCAACCUGCUAGUUCUUUCCAACAGAACAUUGUGUUUUUCUAUUGCUUUUUAUCGUUUAUAAUAAUGUGCUUGUCUUGAUAUGCGCAAUUCUUGGGUGGUAUACCAAACAAUAAGGUGAAAUAUAUUAAAAUAAAAUGUAUUGUAGUUAUUUAGGACGCAAUGUAGCGUCUCAACUAUGGCAGAUACAAUGAGUAAUGACAUCGACCAAAUACAAUGAGUAACGACAUCGACCAAAACAUCUAUGCGAGGAUAGAUACACUUUACAAAGGUCUCAAUAUCUUCUAGACAUGCUUACGUUGCGCCUCUAUGAGUUUUGACACGGUGCACGAGGACGCGCCCCUAAGCACUUUACAUAAUGACUACACGCAUGUAGGGAUGAAAUUAAGUCUUCAGCAGAUAAUGUAGCGAUAACAUCUAGAGUUUGGUGUGGAUCAGUGUACAACUCAGAUGUACCAACUGAUACGAAGUUAUCAACUAUCUCCCAUCAGGCUCUUCGGUGAUGGUUACAUCAUUAUUACUGCAUGGAACAACAACACCAGCUGAUUGGUGUACCGUAGAUACUCUUACGUUGACAUAUGCAGGAGGAUUAGGCUCUGGAAUAAUAACACUCUCGCUGUUUAACAUUGCAACAACAUCUGACAUGGUGGGUCGAUCAUCUGCACUCUCUUGUACGCACAUUAGUGCAAUGUUAAUAUACCUCCUAGCCUCUGUUGUAUGGAUCUCCGUAACAAUUGAUAGUUCUAGAAGCUCAAGCCACCUUCCUCCUUCCCAGAGAUGCCAUGACUGCAAGAAGAAAUGCACUAUUUUCGUCACAUACAUGAUAAAAGAAACUUCAGUCUACAAAAUAAUACACUCAUAUGCGAGGGUUCAGAAAAUGCUGACAUAUCCAAGAAGGUUAAGAAAGUCUUCGCAAUGAUGGAAACGAGAAUUCCUUUUUCCACUGAGGAUCUCAAGAAGCAACACACCAAAGCUGAACACGUCGGAUUUGAUUGAGUAAAUGCCUUCAGAUGCAUACUCGGGAGACAUAUAACCACUGAAAUGAGUUAGAAGCACAAGACAGUAUUGUAUCACAAAUUAUAAUGUGGUACAUGACUUAAAAAUUGUACUGUAGGCACUAUAUAUGUUGUAAUUUGUAAAACAAAGGUAUGCUUACUAUGUUCCCAC